GUUAAAGGAAACAGCAGAGUAAAAGUGACAUUAGAACACCAAGUAAGUUUACUCCUAUUCAAAAAAGAAGAGAAGUUUCAAAGGCUUCAGACAACAGGUCUGCAGCCUUUUCAAGCUAUUCUUGUCUUUUAAAUUGUAUGAGGAUUGUAGUGAAAAAAAUCUCUACACUUCAAUCAAAAUUGGAGCUCUUAGUAAUUAUUUGCUACAAACAUUGACCCUUAACAUAAGGCACGUCAGUAUUCAAUUACAAAAAUAACACAUUACAAUUUCGAAAAUAACUAAUAGAUUGUAAAUCCGUAAUUCCUCACACUCACGUUUGUUGGAGCCUAUACAGGUGAUACUCGAAAACUUAGAAUAUUGUGCAAAAGUUCAUUUAUUUCAGUAAUGCAACGUAAAAGGGGAAACUAAAAGGGGUUUUCAUGAGCUGUAAGCCAUAAUCAUCGCACUUAUGACAAAUCACGGCUUGAACCAUCUUGCUUUGCAUGUAAUGCGUCUAUCUCAUAUAUUAGUUUCCCCUUUUACGUUGCAUUACUAUCACCUGUAGAUAAUCAUCUCUAAUUUUGAUGGUGUCUUUAUCUUUAAGGUAGUAAACUACCUACUUUAGUUCGUUUCCCUGAGUGCUACAAAACAAACAUAUAUUUUUUUCUCUUUAAUGACUGAACAAUCAUGAGUUCUAUACAUUUGACAUUGACACUUCUAGUUACAGUAACCGAAAGGGCAACUCUGCAUGCAGUUACAGGAAACAGGCAUAAAAGAGGGGAUCUGUGAGAAAGAUAAAAUUAACCACAACACAUCCCGAGAAUUAAUAGUUCUGUAGAAAUAACUGUCAUUUUAAUUGUGGUUAGAGUAGUGUUUGGUCAUUGAAGGGACACUAUAGACACCCAGACCAUUUCAGCUGCAUGGGUGCAGUGUCCCAGCACUCUUAACUCUGGAAAGGUAAUUAUUGAAUUUUUUUUUAAUAAACUCCAAUCAUUACUUUUAUGGAUUAACUCUUCCUCUAGUGGCUGUCUAGUA